rnacentral:rRNA from 1 species
GACGAACGCUGGCGGCAUGCCUAACACAUACAAGUCGAGCGAGUAGAUCCCUUCGGGGUGAAGCUAGCGGCGGACGGGUGAGUAACACGUGGGCAACCUGCCUCAUAGAGGGGAAUAGCCUUCCGAAAGGAAGAUUAAUACCGCAUAAGAUUGUAGCUUCGCAUGAAGCAGCAAUUAAAGGAGCAAUCCGCUAUGAGAUGGGCCCGCGGCGCAUUAGCUAGUUGGUGAGGUAACGGCUCACCAAGGCGACGAUGCGUAGCCGACCUGAGAGGGUGAUCGGCCACAUGGGGACUGAUACACGGCCCAGACUCCUACGGGAGGCAGCAGUGGGGAAUAUUGCACAAUGGGGGAAACCCCGAUGCAGCAAUGCCGCGUGAGGGAUGACGGCCUUCGGGUUGUAAAGCUCUGUCUUCGGGGACGAUAAUGACGGUACCCGAGGAGGAAGCCACGGCUAACUACGUGCCAGCCGCCGCAGUAA